rnacentral:rRNA from 1 species
AGUGAACGCUGGCGGUAGGCCUAACACAUGCAAGUCGAACGGCAGCACAGUAAGAGCUUGCUCUUACGGGUGGCGAGUGGCGGACGGGUGAGGAAUACAUCGGAAUCUACUUUUUCGUGGGGGAUAACGUAGGGAAACUUACGCUAAUACCGCAUACGACCUACGGGUGAAAGCAGGGGAUCUUCGGACCUUGCGCGAUUGAAUGAGCCGAUGUCGGAUUAGCUAGUUGGCGGGGUAAAGGCCCACCAAGGCGACGAUCCGUAGCUGGUCUGGGAGGAUGAUCAGCCACACUGGAACUGAGACACGGUCCAGACUCCUACGGGAGGCAGCAGUGGGAAAUAUUGGACAAUGGGCGCAAGCCUGAUCCAGCCAUACCGCGUGGGUGAAGAAGGCCUUCGGGUUGUAAAGCCCUUUUGUUGGGAAAGAAAAGCAGCAGGUUAAUACCCCGCUGUUCUGACGGUACCCAAAGAAUAAGCACCGGCUAACUUCGUG